rnacentral:rRNA from 1 species
CAGUGGCGUACGGGUGAGUAACACGUGGAUCAUCUACCCUGGAGUGGGGAAUAACGCUGGGAAACCGGCGCUAAUACCGCAUAUUCCCGAGAGGGGAAAGCAGCAAUGCGCUCGAGGAGGAGUCCGCGGCCGAUUAGCUAGUUGGUAGGGUAAAAGCCUACCAAGGCUGUGAUCGGUAGCCGGCCUGAGAGGGCACACGGCCACACUGGCACUGAAACACGGGCCAGACUCCUACGGGAGGCAGCAGUGGGGAAUCUUGCACAAUGGGGGAAACCCUGAUGCAGCGACGCCGCGUGAGCGAUGAAGCCCUUCGGGGUGUAAAGCUCUUUCGGCAGGGAAGAUUAUGACGGUACCUGCAGAAGCAGCUGCGGCUAACUACGUGCCAGCAGCCGCGGUAAUACGUAGGCAGCAAGCGUUGUUCGGAGUUACUGGGCGUAAAGGGUGUGUAGGCGGCCUGUUAAGUUCCGUGUGAAAUCUCCCGGCUCAACCGGGAGGGUGCGCGGAAAACUGGCGGGCUAGAGUGCGGGAUGGGAGAGUAGAAUUCCUGGUGUAGCGGUGAAAUGCGUAGAUAUCAGGAGGAAUACCGGUGGUGUAGACGGCUCUCUGGACCGCAAC